rnacentral:misc_RNA from 1 species
CGAAUCAAACCUCUGCCCGUCGCGCCGGCCGUUCGGCCGCGCCUCGCGGUGGACAAACACCCAUGUGCACCUUUGACGUCUUUUGGCGGUCCCCUCGUAGUCUCGCGCGAGCGAGGCGUCGUUGUGCGUGUUGGUAACUCUCCGCGCUCUUGGGCCGCCAGCAGUUGACAAACACCUAGUAUUUUUUUUGCCUGAAACCAAAUGAGAAGCAAUGAGAAA